UCCCCGAUAGCUCAAUGGCAGAGCGCCUCGCUGUUAACGAGGAUGUUGCAAGUUCGAGUCUUGCUCGGGGAGCCA
rnacentral:tRNA from 1 species